GGAGGAGCCCAGAGCCUGAAUCAGUGUGUGUGUUAGUGGAAGCGUCUGGAAAGGCGCGCGAUACAGGGUGACAGCCCCGUACACAAAAAUGCACAUAUUGUGAGCUCGAUGAGUAGGGCGGGACACGUGGUAUCCUGUCUGAAUAUGGGGGGACCAUCCUCCAAGGCUAAAUACUCCUGACUGACCGAUAGUGAACCAGUACCGUGAGGGAAAGGCGAAAAGAACCCCGGCGAGGGGAGUGAAAAAGAACCUGAAACCGUGUACGUACAAGCAGUGGGAGCCUCUUUUAUGGGGUGACUGCGUACCUUUUGUAUAAUGGGUCAGCGACUUAUAUUCUGUAGCAAGGUUAACCGAAUAGGGGAGCCGAAGGGAAACCGAGUCUUAACUGGGCGUUAAGUUGCAGGGUAUAGACCCGAAACCCGGUGAUCUAGCCAUGGGCAGGUUGAAGGUUGGGUAACACUAACUGGAGGACCGAACCGACUAAUGUUGAAAAAUUAGCGGAUGACUUGUGGCUGGGGGUGAAAGGCCAAUCAAACCGGGAGAUAGCUGGUUCUCCCCGAAAGCUAUUUAGGUAGCGCCUCGUGAAUUCAUCUCCGGGGGUAGAGCACUGUUUCGGCAAGGGGGUCAUCCCGACUUACCAA
rnacentral:rRNA from 1 species